UACGUAGGGUGCGAGCGUUAAUCGGAAUUACUGGGCGUAAAGCGUGCGCAGGCGGUUUUGUAAGCCAGGGGUGAAAUCCCCGAGCUCAACCUGGGAAUGGCAUUUGGGACUGCAAGGCUGGAGUGUGGCAGAGGAGACUGGAAUUCCUGGUGUAGCAGUGAAAUGCGUAGAUAUCAGGAGGAAUACCGAUGGCGAAGGCAGGUCUCUGGGCUGACACUGACGCUCAUGCACGAAAGCGUGGGGAGCAAACAGG
rnacentral:rRNA from 1 species